ensembl:lncRNA novel transcript, antisense to C7orf33 and CNTNAP2
GAAGCCUGCUGUCUGCUCUGUUGGGUGAAGGGUGACCAGGUGUAGAUUUCAGGGAAAGGAGCAGGUUUUAGAAAGAAGGAUGAUGAGUCCCAUUUUGUAGAAAAUGUUGAGGUGCUUAUGAGAUGUCUAUUAGAGAAUUUGCUGUAUGAGUCAGAGGCUCAGGCAAAUUGGCUGACUGAAGCCAAUUUGAUUUUAAUAUCCCUUUAUAACAGUGGUUGACUAAACCUAGCUCACUGCCUGUUUUUAUAAAGUUUUAUUUAUACACAGCCAUAUGCAUUCAUUUACAAUUAAUUUUGGGAACUGCUUUAGCAGAGAAAACAAUGGAGUCAGCUUGUGUUGCAGGAAAAGGGAAAGGAAAGCAAGAGAGAAUAAGGGCUCCACUCUAUGGAAACACCAACAUUUAUGAGGCUGGACUUGGCUGGAACAAGAAUAAGACUCCUGAUGCUCGAACGGGAACCAGGAGGAAGAGUGCUAUUUAGUGUCCCCAAGGCCAAGGUUGUAUCUGUUUGCUCGGGAUGCCAUAACAAAGGACCACAGACUGGGGGGUUUAAACAGCAGAAGUUUACUUUCUCACAGUACUGGAGGCUGGAAGUCUGAGGUCAAGGUGCUGGCGGUGUCGGUUUCUCCUGAGCCCUCUCUCUUUUGCCGUCCCAAUUGUGGGAAAUGAAGUUUUACAGCCAUGGAAGGGAAGAUGAAGGGAAGAAGCGGAGAAGACAGAUUUCUAUAGAUCACAAGGCAUUUUGGAUGCCAUAAAUAUGGUGGAUACCCUGUAGUUCUGCAGUGUCUUUCUUUAGGGAAUCUCAAGUGCCUACUCUCUAAUUUAGUCCGCUGUGUGGCUGUGGUCUUUAAGUUGGAGUCUGUGGAGACAAAGAGGGAGGUCUUGCUGUGCCUGACCCUCUGGGAUGUGUUACCACCCACGCCGACCUGCUCUCUGCGGCUUUCUGACAGCACCUCACAGCCCUGGAACUGGAAAUGUGGCUCUCACUGAAGCUGCCCAGAGAGAGGGUCUCUCAGUGAAGACCCCCUGUUGUCAGCUGGGGCAGCCGGAAAGAAAGACUGGGAAUUCUCUUCACACAGGAUUUGAUAUGCUUGGUGGCUCCAGAAAAAUGCAAGUGUGCACAUUCAUCCACUUGACAAAGGGUGACUUAACUGUCAGUGUCCUGUGGAUUCAAACUGAAAGGGUUUGGGCGAAAGAAAGAAGAAGGUGGGACUGCGAAUAAAUUGAAAACAGCAUUUUGGAGGCAACAGCUGUGAAACAGAAGGGAAGGAAAAUUUAUGACCAUAUACAUUUCAGUAGGAAUUUAUAACUUUUUAUGAACAUUAUCUUAAAGUUAGUCUCUAGACAUAGGUCUAAAAAUAAAAUUAUGCUGAACUGUGUACCCAGAGAAUGGUAAAUGGGAAUAACGUUCUUGAAAGGGAUGACGUAGGUCCAGGGAAAGGUCACAUUGAAUAAUCAAGGUCGGUGAAGGUCAAAAUCACAAAGAAGGACCCUGCAUUCACUCCUGUCCUGAUGGCAGCUUCAGUGGAAACCCUUGGCCAUCGCUUUGCCUCUCCAAGCAUUCGAGAAAGACCGUCUGGUGCCAUAUUGUCUUCUGGGGACAGCUGAUCACCUGGGGAGAGCUGCAUCGUGCUCCUACCCGUGUCAGAUCUGGGCAGAGGACAGACAAAAGUCCUCUGGAGUUUUCCGCAGUGAGAGUCACAGAAGUUCAUCUAAGGAAUUGGAGCCAAGGUUAGAAACUUCUCUGGAGAUGUUCUAGUUUUGUUUGCUAGCUCGGCAGCUGCGUAAUGACACUCCCUCCAGCAGGGCACAUAGUUCACUUCAAAUGACAAAUGGUGGGACCUUAGUAUUUUUCACUGUCGGUUAAUUAUCAGAAAUAGAUUUGUUGCUAUCUAGAUACCAGCCAUUUGUCCAAAUUACUAGGAUAAGAUUCCCAAGAAAGCCUGAAAUCAGAUAGCUUUCUCCUCCUUAUUUUAAAAUAAACAGAAAUAAAAUUA